GUCGAACGGACUCGUAUUGAAACCUAGUGAUAUAUGAGUUAGUGGCGGACGGGUGAGUAACGCGUGGAUAACCUGCCGUAUACAGGGGGAUAACACUUAGAAAUAGGUGCUAAUACCGCAUAAGCGCACAGCUUUGCAUGAAGCAGUGUGAAAAGCAAAAAGUUAAAACUUUUAGCGGUAUACGAUGGAUCCGCGUCUGAUUAGCCAGUUGGCGGGGUAACGGCCCACCAAAGCGACGAUCAGUAGCCGGCCUGAGAGGGCGGACGGCCACAUUGGGACUGAGACACGGCCCAGACUCCUACGGGAGGCAGCAGUGGGGAAUAUUGCACAAUGGGGGAAACCCUGAUGCAGCGACGCCGCGUGAGUGAAGAAGUAAUUCGUUACGUAAAGCUCUAUCAGCAGGGAAGAAAAUGACGGUACCUGAGUAAGAAGCCCCGGCUAACUACGUGCCAGCAGCCGCGGUAAUACGUAGGGGGCAAGCGUUAUCCGGAUUUACUGGGUGUAAAGGGAGUGUAGACGGUACGCCAAGUCUGAAGUGAAAUGCCGCAGCUUAACUGCGGAACUGCUUUGGAAACUGGCGGGCU
rnacentral:rRNA from 1 species